GACGAACGCUGGCGGCGUGCUUAACACAUGCAAGUCGAGCGAGGAGCUUGCUCCUAGCGGCGAACGGGUGAGUAACACGUGGGCAACCUGCCCCAAGCUCUGGAAUAACUCCGGGAAACCGGGGCUAAUGCCGGAUAUGACAUCGCUGGGCAUCUGGUGAUGUGGAAAGAUUUAUCGGCUUGGGAUGGGCCCGCGGCCUAUCAGCUUGUUGGUGGGGUAAUGGCCUACCAAGGCGACGACGGGUAGCCGGCCUGAGAGGGCGAUCGGCCACACUGGGACUGAGACACGGCCCAGACUCCUACGGGAGGCAGCAGUGGGGAAUAUUGCGCAAUGGGCGAAAGCCUGACGCAGCGACGCCGCGUGAGGGAUGACGGCC
rnacentral:rRNA from 1 species